rnacentral:lncRNA from 10 species
UUAAAAUUGUAAUAUAUCCAUAGAAUGGGACAUUAUUCAGCAAUAAAAGGAGUAAACUACUGAUAAACCCAGCAACAUGAAUGAAUCUCAAAAACAUUAUGCUGACUGAAGAAAGCCAUUGGGAAGAUACAUUACAAGUCACUGCCACAGCUAAAGAGGAGACUCUCCUUUUUACCCCUAAAAUCCUUUGUAUUUGGCUAUGGAGAAGACCAUUAAACAUAAGGAGACUUCACUUUAAGGUGUCUCUGGAGCACAGAUAAACUGGGGGAUAAAAUAUAAGGAAACAAGUGCCCAUAAUAGAUCCCAGAUCACCACCAAAGCAAGGAAGUCUAUGGCAUCUGAGAUAGAGAGAAUAAGUGUGGUCUAAAAUCCACGACUGCAAGUAGUGUUCAGGGAUGAAAUAUGCCAAGUAUAACUUUUGAGGUUGCAAUAUACAUGAUAAUGCCUUACAACAGUGUUUCCAAGGUUGGGACAAGUACUAGUGCUGGUACAUGGAAUUACUUUAAGAGUUUUUUUUCUGAGAUGAAUUGGGAUGGCAAACAAACAUGAUAUUACAUAACACUGAAUCAUAUUAUGAUUCCUUCUCUUAUUCUCUUAG